rnacentral:lncRNA from 1 species
UUUUUUCUUUUUGCUUUUUAUCACAUUAGCUACAAUUUCCAACACUAUGUUAAUUAACAGACGUAAAAGCAGACUUCCCUGCCUUGUUUCCUAUCAGAGGGAAGUAAUUCAGUCAUUCAUUAUUAAUGAACAUUAGCGGUAGCUUUUUUGUAGGUGCUUUUUAUCAAGAUGAAGUAGUUACCCUCUAAUUUCUAAUUUCCUAAGUUUUAUCAUUUCUGUAUCACAAACACUGAAUUUUGUCAAGUGCUUGUUCUCUGAUUGAUACAAUCAUGUGAUUUACUUUUAUUCAGCCUGAUAAUACAGUAGUCAAUUCUAAAAUAUUAAACCAGAUUUCUAUCUCUGGAAUAACCCUCAUUUGGUCUUUAAAAAGUAUUGCUAAAUUCUACUUGCUAACAUUCUGCUAAGGAUUUUCACAUCUAUAUUCAUAAGGAUAUUGGCCUGUAGUUUUCUCACUUGUACUGUCUCUGGUUUUGGCAACAGAAUAAUUCCAGCUUUACAAAAUGAAGUAUUCUCUCCUUUUCUAUUUUCUGGAAGAGAUUGUAUAGAAUUAGUGUUAAUUCUUCUUUAAAUAUUUGGUAGAAUUCUCCAGUAAUUCUUCCAUCCCCAGACACUCUGAUGUUAUUAGCAUGUAGCAUGACCCAGGCGUGGGGAUUUUAAAAAUCUCCCCGGGUGAUUAAACUUUGCAGUGUGGGAACCACUACCUUAUUGUAUAGAGUGAAUAUGGCUAAGCCUAUUAUUAUUUCAUCUGUGCUUACCUUGUCUGCCUUGAUUACACCUGUAAUCCUAAGGCAGGACCAGGUCAACUUUUUUUUUUUUUGAGCAUGGAUUGAUUGAUCAACUGAUUGAAUAUUAGGCCCUUAUGUGCUUAUGAUUAACCAGUGUUAACAGAUAAUUACUGUAUUGGAUUGGAAUUUCUUUUUAGGGGGAGAUUUAAAAUUAUAAACUCAUCUUCCCUAAUGGUUAUACGUCCUUCACACUUUUAAAAAACAAAGGUGGGGGGCCGGGCGCGGUGGCUCACGUCUGUAAUCCCAGCACUUUGGGAGGCCGAGGCGGGCGGAUCACGAGGUCAGGAGAUCGAGAUCAUCCUGGCUAACACCGUGAAACCCCGUCUCUACUAAAAAUACAGAAAAAUUAGCCGGGCACGGUGGCGGGCGCCUGUAGUUCCAGCUACUGGGGAGGCUGAGGCAGGAGAAUGGCGUGAACCCGGGAGGCGGAGCUUGCAGUGAGCUGAGAUGACGCCACUGCACUCCAGCCUGGGCGACAGAGUGAGGCUCCGUCUCAAACAAACAAACAAACAAACACAAAGGUGGGAUGAGAGUUUGAUGAGGGCUAUAUUGGAGACAGAGUACAACAUACCAAAAUUUGGGGAUUCAAAUGUGGUAGAGAACAUUGGUUUUCAGUAUUUUAAAAACGAUGGAUCCUUUACAUCAAAUGAAACCUGACAUAGAAUCCCAAUACAAGACCAGAGACUCUGGUAAAAUCUUAGGUAGGAACCUUUCCUUCCCUCCCCCAACCCUUCUUAGGGCCAUAAAAUCUGGAGGCAUGCUGUGGUCGACCACAGUUACAUCUCCACACAGGAAGGCCCUUUGUACACACACUGGGAAAAUUGCCAGGUACAAUUGGGCAAGAGUGGUCACAGGUAAGUUAUGUAAACAUAGCAUAGAAAAAAUCUUGGAAUGUUGAACCUUGACAUUAGGUCGCAGGGUAUGGUUAUGCCCUUAUGUGAUAACAUAAAUUGUGCUGCUUUUCCGGCAGGAAAGAAAAAAAGGAGUACCUUAGUACCCACUCAGAUUGCUGAUCAUUACCUCUAUUUUGAGGGCUCCCCCAGGAGGAACACGAGAGAGAGACCUUGAACAGAUGCGCUCUUGGAUGCACCCUUUUCUAUGAAGUUUUAAUGUCACUUGAUGAUCAAUAAACCUUAUCAGUUGGAGAAGCAGCCAAACUGGACUACUUGCUUCCAGGCAGCUUAUAACCUAAAACAGAACUUUCACAAAUGCAGGAUUAAAUUUGUCACCCAUUUUCCUCUUCCCGUCUAUGAUACCUUAGAUGGCUCUAUUUUGUAAGCAUCCCAAAUUAAGGAUUCUCUCUGCUUCACUGGAGAUCUUGACAAAGCAAAAAAGCCCCUUCUUCUUUCCAUUAACCAAAAUGGUUGUUUAGGAUUCUAUACGAUUUUUAAUAUAUGUAGUCUUCAUUUUAGUAUGACAAAUGAGGGCUCAUGCUUAAUAAUCAGAUCAGUAAUCAAGAAUAUUUUUUGCCAAGAGUUGCCUUUUUGAUUUUUUUGAAAUUACCUCAGACAUAACCACUGUUAAGUGCCAGUCUCCUUCCUAACAUUCCUUAAUUUCUGUUGUUAAGUUGAUAAAAAAUGUAAAAUUGGAACAUUAUUCAACUACUUUGACAAUUUCUAACUCCAACAUUAUAAACAUAUAAUUUUUAAGUAUUUCUUAACAUUUCCAAUUUGAAAAUACAGGAAAUUUUUCAAGUCUGAAGUCAUAGAUAAUAACCUUCAGAAACUGGUUUGAAAUGUCCUUGACAUUAUGAAUAUUUACCUGUAUUUCCAGACAGAUUUGGUUUAUAUAUCUCUGGGAUAAACAAAAAACAUUUUAACAUUAAAAGUUAAAAGUUAUAAAGAUUAUCUCCCAUAUCUUUCAAUAGAUACUCAUGAUGAGACUAUCAAAGGUUUCUUGACAAUUUAUAAAACAUCUGUAGUUUCAAGAAAAAAAAAUCUGCUAUGGUAUACAAAAUCCUGGCAAUUAUAUAUUGUGUAAAAUAUCCGUAAUAGUGUCACUACUACAGCAGAGCUUAACCACUGUAUUAGGCAUAAUUUGGUUUCUGUUAUGAAUAUGGAAUAAAUUCAGUAAGUUCUAACACAUUUCAGAAAAAAUAACUUAUGCUGUUAACAAAGCAAAAUUAUUGCUUAGGUAUUUAUACAUAUCUGCUUUGUAAAAGAAAAUGCAAAAUGUAUCACGAGUUUUAAAAACUAUAUAUAUUGACCAUGAAGUUCUGAGAAUAUAUCAUGAAUAAUCAAAGGCAUGAUGUUCACAGCAUUGUUCAUACUAAAAAGUGGAGAGGUUAAGUUCCCAAAAUGAGAACUGAUUCAUUACAUUGAUUCAUCUUCAAAUAAUGGAGGAACCAUUAAAAAUAGUAUCAAUAUCAUAAGGGAAAAAAGGUUACAAGGCAGUAGAAAUUAUUUAAUUCCAGUUUUAAAAUGUCUGGAGAUCAUUUAUAAAUGACAGGCUAUCAUAUUACCUCCACACUUUUAAAAAUGUUUAGCUUCUCCACAAUAUUACAUGAUUAAAAAGAAGAUUAAAGGACAAAUUCAUUCAUUGUGCAGAAAUACUUUUCAGAUAAGUGAAGGCUGACAACAUGCUUAAUCUGCAACUACUCCACGGGGGCUGGCCAUACAUGUUUGUGUGUAUAUACACAAACAUGUAACUUUUAAAAAUAAUUGUACCAUUAUUAACCAAAGUCCUGUACUUCACUACAUCUCUUUUAACUAGACUUUUAUCAAAUUUGUGAUCUGUAGAUGAGAAUGUAUUUUCUUGCAGCAGCAGUGUCACGUUACCAUGUCACAGAUGACAGAAAAUACAUGUGAUGAAAAUCGAAAUAAUUCAUCAUUCAAUAAACUAUAUAAUAUGAAAUGAACAUGCUGAAUGAUGGAAAAGCAGGCCAAAUCAGAUCGCGGGAAAAAUGGUCCAGAUGAACUGUGGAAAUUACAGAAGUUCUGAAAACUUUCAACAGCUUUGCAAAUUGACAUUAUAAGCACUUUGUGUCUAAUUGCACUUCAGGAACUAUGGUAUUCCUUCUUUAACAUCAGAAUAGUAUUUUUACACUUAUCACUUACAAUAAGGAGAAUUUUUUGGCUGCCAAGCGGAAUAAGAAAAACUUCCAAGCAGUAAAGGAGUCAGGAACUGGGGGAAGGGUCAUGAGGAUUUGUGUAUGUGUGAAAGGAGGAGACAUUAAGCCAGUGACAUAUUGGUGUCAAAAUUGACUUAAUACAACUUAAAAUGGAGGGUAAAGAGGGGAAGAGGAAAUGUGAAGUCAUUUCUUUGUAUAAACAUUCUCAGAAUUCUCAAUAAUGUAAUGCCUAAUGAAUGCAAUUUUUUUCCAGUAUAAAUUAAUAUAACUGAUGCAAGAUGUAGGACAAUUUUAAAACAUUAACUGUUUUUAGUAAGACUUUUAUUUUAAAAAUUUUCAAAAUAUAAAAAUAAUAAAUAUGGAUUUAACAAAACAUAAUUCAACUAUAAAUAAUAAAAAUGUUGACAACCCCACAUAAACAUUUAAUACUAUAAACAUUCUAAGCAUACAAGAGUAGUUUUCUAGUUCAAGU